rnacentral:rRNA from 1 species
AUUGAACGCUGGCGGCAGGCCUAACACAUGCAAGUCGAACGAGUGGCGGACGGGUGAGUAAUGUCUGGGAAACUGCCUGAUGGAGGGGGAUAACUACUGGAAACGGUAGCUAAUACCGCAUACCAUCGGAUGUUCCCAGAUUGGAUUAGCGAGUUGGUGGGGUAAAGGCUCACCUAGGCGACGAUCCCUAGCUGGUCUGAGAGGUUGACCGGCCACACUGGAACUGAGACACGGCCCAGACUCCUACGGGAGGCAGCAGUGGGGAAUAUUGCACAAUGGGCGCAAGCCUGAUGCAGCCAUGCCGCGUGUAUGAAGAAGGCUUUCGGGUUGUAAAGUACUUUCAGCGGGGAGGCGUUACCCGAAGAAGAAGCCACGGCUAACUCCGUGCCAGCAGCCGCGGUAAUUC